GCGUGGCUGGCUCAGUCAGUAGAGCAUGCAACUCUUGAUCUCAGAUCAUGAGUUCAAGCCCCAUGUUGGGCA
rnacentral:tRNA from 1 species